UAAGCGCGAAGUGAAUUUGGGCUCAACCCUGAACUGUUUCGUGAACUGCAAAGCUAGAGUAUAUGAGGGGUACCUGGAAUUCCCGGUGUAGGAGUGGAAUCCGUAGAUAUCGGGAGGAACACCAAUGGCGUAGGCAGGGUACUGGCAUAUUACUGACGCUGAGGCACGAAAGCGUGGGGAGCGAACGGGAUUAGAUACCCCGGUAGUCCACGCCGUAAACGAUGGAUGCUA
rnacentral:rRNA from 1 species